rnacentral:tRNA from 1 species
GGGGUUAUGGCUCAGUGGUAGAGCACACACCUAGUACGUGUGAGGCCCUGGGUUCCAUCCUCAGCACCA